UCCCCUGUAGCUCAGUUGGUAGAGCAGCCGGCUGUUAACCGGCUUGUCGUAGGUUCGAGUCCUACCGGGGGAGC
rnacentral:tRNA from 1 species